GCAAUUGACUCCUGGGAUCAUGGGGGACAGCAAGUCUGUAAUCUACAGGGCAGGUCAGCAGGCUGGAAACUCAGGAAAAACAGAAAGAGAAGAAGACAGAGAGGGAAAAGGAGGAGAAGGUGGAGGAGGAGGAGGGGGAGGGGGAGAAGAGCAACAACAACUCAACGAUGACACCAGGACCUCAGAGGCUCUCUUCGAAAUCCUCUCCCUCCGGACCUGGCCGUGCUCUCACUGCGAUGAGGGCAGCCUUCUCCAAGCACAGCCUCUGCAUGUGUUCCCCAGGCCAUAAAGGUCAACGCCAGCUUAAUGGGCCUAUCAUUUGGUGGGAGAAUGGCGUCUCAGUGCCUUAGUGCUGCUUCUGGACGUGCUGGAGUCACUCUUCUCUCUGCAGAAAGAAGUUCGGUGCUGAGAGGACCCCUUAGUCCAGCUUAGAGGUGGUGGCUUCAACGGCGGCAGCAGGGAGCCAGCCGGGCCUGAGUAAAGAGCGGAGCAUCUACUGGCAGGAAGAGAACAGGAGAGCCAUAGCUACUAUUUACAGAGCAUCUACUGUGUCCUACCACAUCACGGAACGCUUCGUAUUUGUCCAACCGCAUCGUCACAGAGGUGUUUCUAGGGACGUGCUCCGGCGGGCUGGGGUCUGGGGCUGCCCCCGUGUCGGUGUACCUGGGAACUUCCUGUGCUGGACUCACUGCUUUGGGUCAGGGAAGUUGGCCUUUAUGGUUUGCAGCAACAGUGCCCUGACCUUCUGGAUCCCAAUUAGGUAUGGAGAAUGAAGGCAUCAGGCGCAGGAAAGGUUGGGCUCUCUCUGUCUCUGUCUCUGUCUCUGUCUGUCUCUCUCUCUCUGCCAGGCUGCCAAUCGCAAUGACUUUGUACCCCUACAAAGACCACCACUCCUCUUGGGGGUGCUCCUCUCCCGCAGCGCCAGCUCCGGCUCUCCAGAUUCUGAUAACGGCUCCUCCAGACUAGGGAUGGUAGCGGCUCCCUGCUGGGGUGGCCUCAGGGAGCUUCACCAUCUCUUACAGGUUUCCUUCAGCCCAAAUCCUAGGCAGUUGCUGUCUCAUCAGAUCAUCUCACUCUCCAGGCUAAAAUUAAUUUGCUCUCAAAUGUAAACAUACAAUAAAUGAAAAAAAAUCAGAAUAGCUUGCACUCUGGUUCCUCAGUUCUCUGUCUUCUCUCAGUGCUGCCGUGUUUUUUUCACUGUGCGAUCUCGGCUGAGUGUGUUUUCAUGAUGAACGUUUUCCAUUUGUGCGCUAAUGGACACCUUCAUUUCACUCUCCUCAAUUUGAUUAUCCUUUUCGAGUGUGCAGAUUGUAUCCGGUGGGAGCCUGACACCCUCAGUUCACCUGGUUUCAUGACAGCUACUCAGCAAAGUGCUGAGGUUGCUUCUGAUGACUUCCCCUGGGUUUGCAGGUGGACAUGCAGCCAGGGUCCCACAGUGUUGGGAGGGGACAGGACGGUAAAACUCUCCCCUGAGAACGGGAGGGAGUGGGCUUCCGGGUGGACUGUCGCUCCAAUCUGGUGGUUCUGUUGGUUGAUGGGCACUUUACAUGAAGCGUGUUCCUCUGACAGAAAGAUACUACACACUUCUUUCUUUCUUUUUUUUUUUUUGAGGAAGAUUAGCCCUGAGCUAACAUCCGCUGCCAGUCCUCCUCUUUUUGCUGAGGAAGACUGGCCCUGAGCUAACAUCCGUGCCCAUCUUCCUCUACUUUAUGUGGGAUGCCUACCACAGCAUGGCUUGCCAAAUGGUGCCAUGUCUGCUCCCAGGAUCUGAACCAGUGAACCCUGGGCCACCGAAGCAGAAUGUGUGUACUUAACCACUGUGCCACCGGGCCAGCCCCCAUCUUUCUUUAAAGGGGAGAAAGGAACCCACUUACUUGCACAGAGGUAGACACAUCAGCACCUCAGUCGACACCCGGCACCAUUGACCUCCUGAGUCACAUCAUCAGUCUCUGUCUUCAUAGACUUGCAGGCAC
ensembl:lncRNA